GACGAACGCUGGCGGCGUGCUUAACACAUGCAAGUCGAACGGAAAGGCCUCUUUCGGGGGGUACUCGAGUGGCGAACGGGUGAGUAACACGUGAGUAACCUGCCCUUGACUUUGGGAUAACUUCAGGAAACUGUGGCUAAUACCGGAUAGGAGCUCCUGCUGCAUGGUGGGGGUUGGAAAGUUUCGGCGGUUGGGGAUGGACUCGCGGCUUAUCAGCUUGUUGGUGGGGUAGUGGCUUACCAAGGCUUUGACGGGUAGCCGGCCUGAGAGGGUGACCGGCCACAUUGGGACUGGGAUACGGCCCAGACUCCUACGGGGGGCAGCAGUGGGGAAUAUUGCACAAUGGGUGGAAGCCUGAUGCAGCAACGCCGUGUGCGGGAUGACGGCCUUCGGGUUGUAAACCGCUUUCGCUCAUGACGAAGCUUUGUGUGACGGUAGUGGGUAAAGAAGCACCGGCUAACUACGUG
rnacentral:rRNA from 1 species